GCAGUUUUUGUGAUGAAAUAAUAGUUCAGCUGAUUUUUGUGCUGAUUCAUUUGUCUUUCGCUCCUAUCUGAAAAAUUGC